rnacentral:rRNA from 1 species
CUAACACAUGCAAGUCGAACGGUAAAUACUAUAGCAAUAUGGUAUGAGAUGACGCACGGGUGCGUAACACGUAUGCAACCUACCCAAGACAGGAGGAUGCUCAGGGAAACUUGGAUUAACCCUCCAUAAGAUCGUAGAGUGGCAUCAUUAGCGAUAAAAACAUUAGUGGUCUCUGGAUGGGCAUGCGCAUGGGGGGUAGUUGGUAGUGUAACGGACGACCAAGACGAUGAUCGCUAGGGGACCCUAGACGGUGAUCCCCCACCCCGCCACUCCGAUAGGGCCCACACUCCUACCGGACGUGCGCGCGUCGGCAAUACUCGGAGUGUGGCAUCGCACCUCUCCCCCGGCGCAGGGGGGGGGGGGAGCGCACCCCCGGCUGGGCGGGGGCGCGGUCCGCGGU